rfam:Apaloderma vittatum contig82097, whole genome shotgun sequence.
GGACCGGUUAGCUCAGUGGUUUGAGCACGGUGCUGGCAAUAAGAAUCAACACUGAGGUGGUGGGUUUGAUUCCUGCUCGGUCCC